CCAUCAACAUGGCGGUAUUGAAAGAAAUAGUUAUCUUGACCUUUUGAUGUACUUAAGUAAAAGAGAGAUUUGAUUAUGAAAAUGAUGGAGUUACUAAUGACAGAAAAAUGGCAGACAAGAGACUCAAAGUAUUUUGAGGUAUGUUAUUCCGUUCAUCUUCAACCCCCUUCCCCACCUCCUCUGGUCUCUCGUACAGCUGUAUGAUUGAUACCAAUACAACAAUGUAAGGACACACUAUCAGUGACUAAUUUACUGUUUUUUGUUGAGAAGCAUAACAAAUUCUGCUCGUUUAUGUCCAUCAGUUACAUGAAGAGAAUAUUUCAUUUAUUACAUACAUGCACAUGUAUUGUACACUAUCAGUGAAACAAUUACCAGGUGAGACCACACUCACUAUCCAUGCCCAUUUAUGUUCACCCUCUCUUUUAUAGUGCUAGAAGAUGUUGUCUGAUAUUUGUCCAUCAGUGGAAUUACCUUUUGAUAUGUGUAUCAGGUACAUGUACUUAGUCUGUUUGUCAUUCCUGAAAAUAUUCAAAAUUUCUAUGACUGAAAAUCAAUUUACUUUAUGCUAUGACUGAAAGUUUAUUACCUUUUUCAGUGUUGAUAGAAAAUAUGUGUUUCAUUUACCCGACACAUUCCCAGAGACUCAAAGUAUCUUGAGGUAUGUUAUUCCACUCGUCAUCCUGCCCCUCCCCCACCUCCUCUGGUCUCUCGUACAGUUGUGUGUUUGGUACCAAUACAACAAGGCUUGGACACACAACUAAUUUGUUGAGAAGCUCAUUAGUGUAUAAUAAGUUCUAUUCAUCCAUGUUUAUCAGUUAUGAAGAGAAUAUUUCAUUUAUUACAUACAUUAUUGGUCAAAAAUUUACCAGUGCUGGAAGAUGUCAUCUGAUGCACUGUAUUUUUCCAUCAAUGGAUUAUCUUUUGAUACAUGUAUCAGUAUUCUCAAUGAUGAUUGAUCCUCAAGUAGUCCCAGUUACAGAAUCCUUUCUGGACAUUUUGAGCAGCAUGGUCUCAUUGUUAUUAGUAAGAGAAUGGAAUUAGCCAGUAAAUUGAAGGGACACAAAAGCUUGAACUUGUACAUGUAUAUAACAUGUGCAUCAUUCCUAUUUAUACAUUCAGUGACAUAUUAUUGAAAUGACAUUUAAUUGCAAUUUUUUGUGGUCAGGACUCAGGACUGGCAGGAACCACAUGCUGAUUGAAACAUGUAUGUACAUGUACUUAUUCCUUAAUUUGUAAUCAACAUGUUUGUUAUGUACAUUA
rnacentral:lncRNA from 1 species